GACGAAAGGGCGCGAUAAAUCGCGCCCUUUCAUAGAUAAAUGCGGGGCUGAACCCCGCAUUUUCAGUCAAAAUCAAAG
rnacentral:ncRNA from 1 species